UCCCCGGACACGCCUAGAGGUAACACCCCUCCCCGGUCACGGCACGGCUUAGCAGGAGCUUUCUGAUCCUCCCCUUCCUCGGUAAGUGUGGGGCUUCAUAUUGAUGACAGACCGUGAAGAAACCUCAGAGCAUCCAACGCUCGUAAGCCUGUCAUGUCAUAUACGAGCAGUGAAGUUAAGGUUUCCCAUCUUUCUUCUCAUGCAGGGAUAUCUCUACACAAAGUUCCUGAAACACAGACAAGAUCUUAUUAGCUGGCAGCUCUCAGCAAUGAGCAUUUUUAAGACAGUGGCCCUCUGUGGAAAACACUCUUCUCCAGAUAGCUGCUCUUUUGUCCUCCCAGCAAAACCUCUCAUUUUUCCUUCAGCCUUAAUAAGGUGUGCUUUCCUUGCCUCUUCCUGUCUCCAAGGAGUAGACAUGGUUAUUUGAUAGAUGUCAAGCAAUUGAUGAAUAAAUGUAGGCAAUUGAAAA